CCUACGGGGGGCAGCAGUGGGGAAUAUUGGACAAUGGGGGGAACCCUGAUCCAGCCAUGCCGCGUGUGUGAAGAAGGCCCUCGGGUUGUAAAGCACUUUCAGUGAGGAAGAACGCCUGGUGGUUAAUACCCAUCAGGAAAGACAUCACUCACAGAAGAAGCACCGGCUAACUCCCUGCCAGCAGCCGCGGUAAUACGGAGGGUGCGAGCGUUAAUCGGAAUUACUGGGCGUAAAGCGCGCGUAGGUGGCUUGAUAAGCCGGUUGUGAAAGCCCCGGGCUCAACCUGGGAACGGCAUCCGGAACUGUCAAGCUAGAGUGCAGGAGAGGAAGGUAGAAUUCCCGGUGUAGCGGUGAAAUGCGUAGAGAUCGGGAGGAAUACCAGUGGCGAAGGCGGCCUUCUGGACUGACACUGACACUGAGGUGCGAAAGCGUGGGUAGCAAACAGGAUUAGAUACCCCAGUAGUC
rnacentral:rRNA from 1 species